rnacentral:lncRNA from 1 species
UCAGUCUUCUUCUGCUUAUUCUUUGCUUUUUAAUUUCCACAUAAGAAGGAUUCAAGAAAUUUCUUGUUACAUAAUGUCUUCAUGUUGAUUGGAUGAUCCCUUGAUCUUCCAGAGUUUAAAAGAAAGCUUAUUUUCAAAAAAAACACCGAGUCACAUAUAUAUUCAUGCAGACAGUCUAAGUGGUGGGAUGAGCUCCCAUGUUACAUUUGACUCACUAUGAGUACACCCAUAAUCCACAUUUGUUUUAGCUCAAGGCAGCAAGAAAUUGCUAUAACAUAAAGGAAAAAUCAGAUCAUAAGCACCACAACGAUCUAAAACUGGCCGAUAAGAACCACUAGAUCCCCGUGACUUCGACUUGGGAAGCUUAGAGCCAGAGAGGACAGAUCAUUAUAAAUUCAUCAAAACUCCUGCAGAUAACAAAAAUUAAAUGAAUGUAUGUGCGAGUUUUCGUUAUAGAGCAAUGCUAACUUAUGAUAAUAUUCAGAGAAAUUGCUACGUACUGUGAUUGAUGGUAUAAGAAUAGACCUCUCCAAAAACCGGCAUAGUUGAUGUAAAGCACCACGCAUACUCAGAAGUGGGAGCAUUCUCGAACGAAAAUAGUAGAGCUAGGAAAGUGAAGAGAGAAAGAAAACCACAACCAUUUACAAGAUGAAUUUCAUUAGAAUUUAACUUGUACAUACACCAGCUUACAUAUUAAUAUCUGCUUACAAAAAUGACAGCUCAUACUCUCCACCAC